GGUGGUGCAUGGCCGUCGUCAGUUCGUACUGUGAAGCAUCCUGUUAAGUCAGGCAACGAGCGAGACCCACGUCCACAGUUGCCAGCAUACCCUCCGGGGUGAUGGGUACACUGUGGAGACCGCCGCUGCUAAAGCGGAGGAAGGAGUGGGCAACGGUAGGUCAGUAUGCCCCGAAUCUCCCGGGCUACACGCGGGCUACAAUGGUUGGUACAAUGGGCAUCUACCCCGAAAGGGGAAGGAAAUCUCUUAAAGCCAAUCGUAGUUCGGAUUGAGGGCUGCAACUCGCCCUCAUGAAGCUGGAAUCCGUAGUAAUCGCGUUUCAACAGAACGCGGUGAAUACGUCCCUGCUCCUU
rnacentral:rRNA from 1 species